rnacentral:lncRNA from 1 species
GUGCCAGAUUACCUCAGGAAACUGCAGAAAACAUGUUUGUAAACGUUUAAUAAAAUUCACAGAGCCAAGAAAUGUGCCUACAUGCUCAUCAGGUCUGAACACCCAGGAUAGUAACAGAUGAGAAUAAUGAACCUGAAUUGGCUCCGUGAAACCACAGUGGUAUUGAAACCACCUUGAUAGAAAGGCUGGAGCAACAAAAGGCCUACUCAGUUGAAAUCUAAUCUGUGUUAAUUAACGCCCCUGAGAAUGAAAACACUUCUUUAUCAGUGUGUGGUUCCUGGCUAAAGCUCUCC